CUAAAUAUCUGUUUAAAUGUUGAAUGUUUAUUUUCAGUCAGGAGGCUGCAGUCUGCAGGCCGUCCACUAGGGGCAGCAGCUCAGAUCCGUUCAUCUCAUAUUUAUUCUCAUAUUUAUUCAUGUAUGUAUUCGUCCGUUCAGUCCUGCUCGCUGAUGGAAACAGGAAGUGAAAGCAGCUCGCGGCCUCGACGCCCAGCAGUGUGGAGACGGACUCAUGCGGCCGCCGGCGGUGAAACGUGGACGGAUGCAGUUAGACGGACGACAUAUUGGCUUGAACUGUGGAGGCUCCGGGCUUCGGAUCAGGACUCAGCCUCCGUCUCCUCGCUGACCUCCGCCCCCUGCCUCCCCUCCGUCCUCCCCCGGGCCGGGCUGGGUGUCGGGGGUGAGCCUCCCCGAGGACUCGCCGACUCGACUGUCACAAGUCGUUGAGCUGCGGCACCUCAGACGGAGUCGCCAGAAAUCAGAACAUUCAGGCAUCAGGAAUCUAAGACAGAGAGAAAUCCCAUUUAUCAAACCUGCUGGUGGUUCGUUCUGGAGCUCCUAAACUCAUUUGGACUCAACCUCUAUGUUGUAUUUGUAUAUUUCUAUGUAUUUUUGUAUAAAUGUGGUAGAAACAACAUUUAUUUCUGUUUGUAGAAACAUUGACAAUAAAGUUCAGUUUGACUUUA